GGUGAGAUGGCCGAGCGGUUAAGGCGCCAGACUAAGGAUCACGUGACUCUAUCACGAUUAAAUCUGGUCCGAAAGGGCGUGGGUUCGAAUCCCACUCUCAUCA